rnacentral:rRNA from 1 species
CCUACGGGAGGCAGCAGUGGGGAAUAUUGCACAAUGGGCGAAAGCCUGAUGCAGCAACGCCGCGUGAAGGAAGAAGGGUUUCGGCUCGUAAACUUCUAUCAACAGGGACGAAAGAAAUGACGGUACCUGAAUAAGAAGACCCGGCUAACUACGUGCCAGCAGCCGCGGUAAUACGUAGGGGGCAAGCGUUAUCCGGAAUUACUGGGUGUAAAGGGUGAGUAGGCGGCAUGGUAAGCCAGAUGUGAAAGCCUUGGGCUUAACCCGAGGAUUGCAUUUGGAACUGGCGGGCUGGAGUUGGAGAGAAGUACGCGGAAUGCGCGGUGUAGCGGUGAAAUGCUUAGAUAUCGCGCAGAACCCCGAUUGCGAAGGCAGCGUACCGGCUCCACACUGACGCUGAGGCACGAAAGCGUGGGUAUCGAACAGGAUUAGAUACCCGAGUAGUC